rnacentral:lncRNA from 1 species
CUAAAUUUGACUCUGAUUUUCUGAAGCAAAUGCAGAAGUGUUGCGUUACUACAUCUUAAAAUAUGUGAUGGGUGAAAAAUAAGGGAACUUUGAACAGGAGCUUAAUUUGAGAUCAUGAUUCCAAAAGCCAAAAGAAAGAAGCUACAUGUAAUUUGAGAGAUGCUUACUCAUCUCUGCCUCCUUUUACCAGUUCCUUAUUCAGGGAGAAGAAGCUGAAUCAGCCAUUGCAGAUUGCCUGCUGCCUCCUCUGCCCCUGCAGCCUGGAAGGGACCCCUCCUGCUACCAAGCAAAGCAGGGAGUAAAAAUCCAAAUACCAUGCCCUUGACUUGGUUAUGGAAAAGAAAACAGAUGAAAAAUGUCCCUGUUCAUGGUCAGAAAUUACCACACUAACCUGUGAUAGCUGAAUCAUGGAAGGUAUAUAUGACACCUUUCUAAAAUGCUUGUUCUGAUUUCUUUUAGUAUGAAGAUGCAGCACAGAAGUGGAAAACUCAGUAGAAAUAUUCCCUAAUAGCCUAAGAGGGAUAAAUAUUACUAUAAAUAACAAUUGUAUCUCUCUUACCAUUUCUUUGUCUUUAACUGUCUCUAAGGUAAAAAUAAUUUUAUUUCUCUAGCUAUGAUUUUCUUUUUUUGCCCCUUUUAUAUUGAUAUCUCCAUGUCAUUGUGAGGGUUUUCCCCCUUUUUUUCAAUUUUUUUUUUUCUAUUUGUUUGGUUUGCAUUUAUUUAAUUUAUAU